rnacentral:tRNA from 1 species
UCCCUGGUGGCUCAGACAGUAAAGAAUCUGCCUGCAAUGCAGGAGACCCAGGUUUGAUCCCUGGGUAGGGAA